rnacentral:rRNA from 1 species
CCUACGGGAGGCAGCAGUGAGGAAUAUUGGUCAAUGGACGAGAGUCUGAACCAGCCAAGUAGCGUGAAGGAUGACUGCCCUAUGGGUUGUAAACUUCUUUUAUAUGGGAAUAAAAUGUUCCACGUGUGGGAUUUUGUAUGUACCAUAUGAAUAAGGAUCGGCUAACUCCGUGCCAGCAGCCGCGGUAAUACGGAGGAUCCGAGUGUUAUCCGGAUUUAUUGGGUUUAAAGGGAGCGUAGGUGGAUUGUUAAGUCAGUUGUGAAAGUUUGCGGCUCAACCGUAAAAUUGCAGUUGAAACUGGCAGUCUUGAGUACAGUAGAGGUGGGCGGAAUUCGUGGUGUAGCGGUGAAAUGCUUAGAUAUCACGAAGAACUCCGAUUGCGAAGGCAGUUCACUGGACUGCAACUGACACUGAGGCUCGAAAGUGUGGGUAUCAAACAGGAUUAGAUACCCGAGUAAUC